rnacentral:rRNA from 1 species
AGUGAACGCUGGCGGUAGGCCUAACAUAUGCAAGUCGAACGGCAGCACAGUAAGAGCUUGCUCUUACGGGUGGCGAGUGGCGGACGGGUGAGGAAUACAUCGGAAUCUACUUUUUCGUGGGGGAUAACGUAGGGAAACUUACGCUAAUACCGCAUACGACCUACGGGUGAAAGCAGGGGAUCUUCGGACCUUGCGCGAUUGAAUGAGCCGAUGUCGGAUUAGCUAGUUGGCGGGGUAAAGGCCCACCAAGGCGACGAUCCGUAGCUGGUCUGAGAGGAUGAUCAGCCACACUGGAACUGGGACACGGUCCAGACUCCUACGGGAGGCAGCAGUGGGGAAUAUUGGACAAUGGGCGCAAGCCUGAUCCAGCCAUACCGCGUGGGUGAAGAAGGCCUUCGGGUUGUAAAGCCCUUUUGUUGGGAAAGAAAAGCAGCAGGUUAAUACCCCGCUGUUCUGACGGUACCCAAAGAAUAAGCACCGGCUAACUUCGUG